AUUUAAAUGGCAGACUAGUGCAUUAGACUUAAACCCUAAAUAUAAAAAAAUUUUUUUUAAAUA
rnacentral:tRNA from 1 species